CAGCCGCCGCGGUAAUACGAAGGGGGCUAGCGUUGCUCGGAAUGACUGGGCGUAAAGGGCGCGUAGGUGGUUAUGUAAGUGAGAUGUGAAAUCCCCGGGCUCAACCUGGGAACUGCAUCUUAUACUGCGUAGCUGGAGUGCAGUAGAGGGUAGUGGAAUUUCCGGUGUAGCAGUGAAAUGCGUAGAGAUGUGGAGGAAUACCGAUGGCGAAGGCAGCCCCCUGGGCCAAUACUGACGCUCAUGCACGAAAGCGUGGGGAGCAAACAGGAUUAGAGACCCCAGUAGUCCCUGUCUCUUAUAC
rnacentral:rRNA from 1 species